rnacentral:rRNA from 1 species
UACGGAGGGUGCAAGCGUUAAUCGGAAUUACUGGGCGUAAAGCGUGCGCAGGCGGUUUGUUAAGUCUGUUGUGAAAUCCCCGAGCUCAACUUGGGAAUUGCAAUGGAUACUGGCAGGCUGGAGUAUGGUAGAGGAAGGUGGAAUUCCCGGUGUAGCAGUGAAAUGCGUAGAGAUCGGGAGGAACACCUGUGGCGAAGGCGGCCUUCUGGACCAAUACUGACGCUCAUGCACGAAAGCGUGGGGAGCAAACAGG